rnacentral:tRNA from 1 species
GCGGGAAUAGCUCAGUUGGUAGAGCAUAACCUUGCCAAGGCUGGGGUCGCGAGUUCGAGUCUCGUUUCCCGCUCCA